GAAUCCUGAAUUCGAAAGGGAUUGGAUUCAAAUCCUACCGUGCGAAUGGGAUGUCACUGCCAGAUGGCGCUGGUCGCCCGCGGCGAUUUAUUUCGUUUGCGGUGUCGUUCCCGGCGAUCACUCGGCCCAGAGAUGUUAACCCGUCGCCGGAGGAGUGCACUUCCUCCCUAGUAGAAACGUCGCGACCCGUUGGGUGCCGGUCCAAGGCCCGGGACGGCAGCCCGCGUGUCCUGUGGGGGAUCUCACAGGCGUGCGGACUCCCGGUGCCCCGGCCGGCUGCUCGACGGUAGGACCAGAGGAGCCGAUCCGCUGAUAGUGAAACACUUUGGUUGUGUAGCGUCCGGCCCGGCGCCGAGUCGUGCGGGGAUUGAGGUGUAAACCGGGGGUGCCCGUGCGAAGCACGGCCCCGGCCCCGCUGCGUCUCCGGAUGUUCGGUGUCCUCGGACUGGAUCAGCACUCCCGUCUGCGACGCCCACCUUCGGAUGGUCUCCCG
rnacentral:rRNA from 1 species